rnacentral:rRNA from 1 species
CCUACGGGAGGCAGCAGUGGGGAAUAUUGGACAAUGGGGGCAACCCUGAUCCAGCCAUGCCGCGUGUGUGAAGAAGGCCCUCGGGUUGUAAAGCACUUUCAGUGAGGAAGAACGCCUGGUGGUUAAUACCCAUCAGGAAAGACAUCACUCACAGAAGAAGCACCGGCUAACUCCGUGCCAGCAGCCGCGGUAAUACGGAGGGUGCGAGCGUUAAUCGGAAUUACUGGGCGUAAAGCGCGCGUAGGUGGCUUGAUAAGCCGGUUGUGAAAGCCCCGGGCUCAACCUGGGAACGGCAUCCAGAACUGUCAAGCUAGAGUGCAGGAGAGGAAGGUAGAAUUCCCGGUGUAGCGGUGAAAUGCGUAGAGAUCGGGAGGAAUACCAGUGGCGAAGGCGGCCUUCUGGACUGACACUGACACUGAGGUGCGAAAGCGUGGGUAGCAAACAGGAUUAGAUACCCUAGUAGUC